rnacentral:rRNA from 1 species
CAAGCCUGAUCCAGCCAUGCCGCGUGGGUGAAGAAGGCCUUCGGGUUGUAAAGCCCUUUUGUUGGGAAAGAAAAGCAGCCGGCCAAUACCCGGUUGUUCUGACGGUACCCAAAGAAUAAGCACCGGCUAACUCCGUGCCAGCAGCCGCGGUAAUACGGAGGGAGCUAGCGUUGUUCGGAAUUACUGGGCGUAAAGCGCGCGUAGGCGGUUUUCCAAGUCAGGGGUGAAAGCCCGGGGCUCAACCCCGGAAUAGCCCUUGAAACUGGAAGACUAGAAUCUUGGAGAGGUCAGUGGAAUUCCGAGUGUAGAGGUGAAAUUCGUAGAUAUUCGGAAGAACACCAGUGGCGAAGGCGACUGACUGGACAAGUAUUGACGCUGAGGUGCGAAAGCGUGGGGAGCAAACA